AUAGUGAAGGGAAUCCAGGACCCAACAAAGUUGGCAAAGAAAUGUAUGAGCACCUGGUGGAUUCAGUCUAGAAGAUGGAUGUAUGACAAGAUAUGGCAUCCAGAACCAGAGAAACAAAGUCACAUUGCCUCUCUUAUGUCCUCAGAACUUUUCCCCUGGCAUUUGGAACUUAAGAAAAUGAAAGGGCAGUUUAAAAUCUUUCCAUGGCAAUAGAACAAGACUUCAGUAUCACUACCCAAGCCUUGGGAGCACUCCAGUCAGAAGUCAACAGUCCAGCUUCUGCUGUACUUUAGAACUGCUGCAGCCUGAAUGUGCUGACAGCCCAACAGGGAGGAGCUUGUGCAGCUAUUGGUGACAAAUGCUGUUUCUACAUAAACCGCUCAGGGCAAGUAGAGACUGAUCUGCACCUCUUGAAGGUCAAGAUCUCUUACUACCCAGCUACUAAACCAACUUCUCUCUCCAGAGCCACUAACUUAGGAUUUUUUUUUUUUUUUUGAGACAGAGUCUCACUCUGUCACCCAGGCUGGAGUGCAGUGGUGUGAUCUUGGCUCACUGCAACUUCCGCCUCCCAGGUUCAAGCAAUUCUCUGCCUCAGCCUUCCAAGUAGCUGGAAUUACAGCAAACCCUCUGAGGGCAAGGGGAAAGCUCCUCCAAUGCCCAUACACAAGUGAAGAAGAUCAAGAAGAAUUUAUCACAAACCUGCCUUGCUAUACAAGUGUCUGAUGUACAAAAGACUGAAGUGAAAUACUUGUUAGCACCAAUAAAAUAUAACUCAGUGACAAAUUUUCUAAAAAGAACUUUGUAUCUAGGAUUGAUAGGCUUGGAAAAAUCUUACAAACUUUUCUUCAACAUCUGAAAGUGUUUUUCAGUCUAUAGUAAUUGUCAGGCCUCUGAGCCUAAGCUAAGCCAUCAUAACCCCUGUGACCUGCACGGAUACAUCCAGAUGACCUGAAGCAACUGAAGAACCACAAAAGAAGUGAAAUAGUCAAUUCCUGCCUUAACUGAUGACAUUCUACCACUGUGAUUUGUUCCUGUCCCACCCUAACUGAUCAAUUGAGCUUGUGACAUUCCUUCUCCUGGACAAUGAGUCUCAGGAGCUCCCCACCGAGCACCUUGUGACCCCCACCCCUACCCUCAAGAGAAAACCCCUUUAACUGUAAUUUUCCACUACCUACCCAAAUCCUAUAAAACUGGCCCACCCCAUCUCCCUUUGCUGACUCCUUUUUCAGACUCAGUCUGCCUGCACCCAGGGAAUCAAAAAGCUUUAUUGCUCACACAAAGCCUGUUUGGCCGUCUCUUCACACAGACGUGUGUAACAGUAAUAAUAUUAUUUUAUUUUUUUGAGACAGGGUUUCACUCUGUUGUGCUGGCUGGAGUACAGGGGUGUGAUCAUGGUUCACUGCAGCCUCAACCUCCCUGGGCUCUAGUGAUCCUCCCACCUCAGCUUCCUGAGUAGCUGGGACCACAGAUGUGCACCACCACACCCAGCUAUUUCUUGGUAGAGAUGUUUUUUUGCCAUGUUGCCCAGGCUGGUCUUGAACUUCUAGGCUCCAGUGAUCCACUUGCUUUGAUCUCCCAGUGUUGGGAUUACAGGCAUGAGCCACCAUGCCCAGCCCUUAGUAAUAAUUUUAAAAAGUCUUUUAGUUUGAAGUUUUUGAUAGCCUGAGAACUGAGGCAGCAUCUUCUUAAAUUAUUCUUGUAAAAUCUGUGGGUUUGAAGUUUGAUUAAUGAGAACACAAUGUGUUUUUCCAAUGCUUCAUAUAGUGUCCCUUGUUCACAUUCCUGUUUUAUUCUUACUGCUUGUGUUCUUUAUUAUGGCUGGAUUGGUACUAGAAAAAACAAACCUUGUUUGUGUAUGAGUGUGGAUGUGUCUGACAAGUACUUGAAAUGUGACUUACAUGAUUUUGCUGUUUUUCUUUUUCAUGAAAUAUUAAGGUGGGAAAGUUGACAUUUUGCUUUUAAUUCAACAUAAUAUGAUGUGAAGAAUUUCCAAAUAAGAUUGUUUUCAUGUAAGACUCAUGGCCUAGAUGCAAUUAAAAUAAUAAAAUAAAAAU
rnacentral:lncRNA from 1 species